rnacentral:rRNA from 1 species
GACGAACGCUGGCGGCGUGCUUAACACAUGCAAGUCGAACGGAAAGGCCCUGCUUGCGGGGUACUCGAGUGGCGAACGGGUGAGUAACACGUGGGUGAUCUGCCCUGCACUUCGGGAUAAGCCUGGGAAACUGGGUCUAAUACCGGAUAGGAGCCAUUUUGAGUGUGAUGGUUGGAAAGUUUUUUCGGUGUAGGAUGAGCUGGCGGCCUAUCAGCUUGGUGGUGGGGUAAUGGCCUACCAAGGCGGCGACGGGUAGCCGGCCUGAGAGGGUGGACGGCCACCUUGGGACUGAGAUACGGCCCAGACUCCUACGGGAGGCAGGAGUGGGGAAUAUUGCAAAAUGGGCGCAAGCCUGAUGCAGGGACGCCGCGUGGGGGAUGACGGCCUUCGGGUUGUAAACUCCUUUCGCUAGGGACGAAGCUUUUUGUGACGGUACCUAGAUAAGAAGCACCGGCUAACUACGUG